UAAUACGUAGGGGGCGAGCGUUGUCCGAAGUUACUGGGCGUAAAGCGCGCGUAGGCGGCUUUUUAAGUCUGGGGUGAAAGGUUCAACGCUCAACGUGAACAGUGCCUUGGAUACUGGGAAGCUUGAAUGUGGCAGAGGAUAGUGGAAUGGCUGGUGUAGCGGUGAAAUGCGUAGAUAUCAGUCGGAACACCCAUGGCGAAGGCAGCUAUCUGGGCUAACAUUGACGCUGAGGUGCGAAAGCGUGGGGAGCGAACGGGAUUAGAUACCCCGGUAGUCCACGCCGUAAACGAUGAGUGCUAGGUGUAGGCGGUAUCGACCCCGCCUGUGCCGUCGCUAACGCAUUAAGCACUCCGCCUGGGGAGUACGGCCGCAAGGUUG
rnacentral:rRNA from 1 species